CCCCUCUCAGGAUUGUAUCUGGAGAGUUUCCAGUACUCUACCAGUCUCGGCUCUGAGGGAGUAUCAAGCAGAGGCAUACCCAUUCCAUUCCUAGCUUGGGCAGUGGCUAGUGAGUGGAAGGUAAUCUGCUACAAGU